AGCAUAUCAAUAAGCGGAGGAAAAGAAACCAACUGGGAUUGCCUUAGUAACGGCGAGUGAAGCGGCAAUAGCUCAAAUUUGAAAGCUGGCCCCUUUGGGGUCCGCGUUGUAAUUUGUAGAGGAUGAUUCGGCGAGGGCUCCCGUCUAAGUCCCCUGGAACGGGGCGUCAUAGAGGGUGAGAAUCCCGUAUGUGAUGGGUUGCCUUAGCCAUGUGAAUCUCCUUCGACGAGUCGAGUUGUUUGGGAAUGCAGCUCUAAAUGGGAGGUAAAUUUCUUCUAAAGCUAAAUACCGGCCAGAGACCGAUAGCGCACAAGUAGAGUGAUCGAAAGAUGAAAAGCACUUUGGAAAGAGAGUUAAAAAGUACGUGAAAUUGUUGAAAGGGAAGCGCUUGCAGCCAGACUUGUCCGCAGUUGCUCAGCCGGUCUCCUGACCGGCGUACUCUUCUGCGGCCAGGCCAGCAUCAGUUCGGGCGGUCGGAUAAAGACCUCGGGAAUGUAGCUCCUCUCGGGGAGUGUUAUAGCCCGGGGUGGAAUGCGGCCAGCCUGGACUGAGGAUCUCGCUUCGGCUAGGAUGCUGGCGUAAUGGCUGUAAGCGGCCCGUCUUGAAACACGGACCAAGGAGUCUAACAUCUAUGCGAGUGUUUGGGUGUCAAACCCAUACGCGUAAUGAAAGUGAACGGAGGUGGGAACCCUCACGGGUGCACCAUCGACCGAUCCUGAUGUCUUCGGAUGGAUUUGAGUAUGAGCAUAGCUGUUGGGACCCGAAAGAUGGUGAACUAUGCCUGAAUAGGGUGAAGCCAGAGGAAACUCUGGUGGAGGCUCGCAGCGGUUCUGACGUGCAAAUCGAUCGUCAAAUUUGGGUAUAGGGGCGAAAGACUAAUCGAACCAUCUAGUAGCUGG
rnacentral:rRNA from 1 species